rnacentral:misc_RNA from 1 species
GGACUACGCGGGUUUCUAAUCCCGUUCGCUCCCCACGCCUUCGCACAUGAGCGUCAGGCUAGUGCCAGGGUGCCGCUUUCGCCACUGGUAUUCCUCCCGAUAUCUACGCAUUCCACCACUACACCGGGAAUUCUACACCCCUCUCACCGCCUCAAGCACAUCAGUCUCCAACGACCCCUCCCAGUUAAGCCGGGAGAUUUCACGUCAGACUUAAUGCGCCGCCUGCGUGCGCUUUACGCCCAGUAAUUCCGGAUAACGCUUGUCACCUACGUAUUACCGCGGCGGCUGGCAC